UGGACUUCGCUCAAUUUACAUUUAACCUGCGGGUUAUAGGCUCAUAUUAAAAGAAAAAGUAUCCCAAGCUACAUUUCCUACCUAGUUUUAUGUGGGUUAGUGUUACCCAUGCCAAUUACUUUUCACUUUGGGCAGAAUUUCAUUGAAGAAAAGAGACUUGAAACAGUACUAGAAGCUGCUACUCGCAUCUGUGAAGACUUGAAAAACAAAACCAUAAGCAAUCCUGACUUAGAUCCCUGCUGAGAUCCUGGCAAAGUGGAAUUCAGUACAUGGUUCCUUAAAUGAAGCCGGAAACCAUCUCAUCGAAGUCAGCAAAGAGCAAGUUGGAUCAAAUAUUGCCAAAGAGAUGAAGAAACUGAACAGGAGAUGGGCUAAGUUCAUCAAGCGGACACACUUUCUUGAUGAAGAAAGCACAGAUGCUGCUGAAAAAAAUGGGGAGCUUCGGGGCAGCCUGGAGAAAAUUGAAGAGCUCCUUGGAGGGGUGGAGAGCCGGGCAGCGGAGAUUGGAUGCCUGCUUGGCAAGAUCAGUCAGGAGAGGCCUGUGUAACCU